GUUGCUUUGGAGUGGUUAAGGCGUGUGCCUGCUAGUACAUGGUGUUUCGCGAGAGUUCGAAUCUCUCAGGCAACG
rnacentral:tRNA from 1 species